UACGGAGGGUGCGAGCGUUGUCCGGAAUCACUGGGCGUAAAGCGUGCGCAGGCGGUUCGUUGUGUCGGUGGUGAAAGCCCCGGGCUUAACCUGGGAAUGGCCAUGGAAACUGGCGAACUGGAGUGUGGCAGAGGGGGGUGGAAUUCCGCGUGUAGCAGUGAAAUGCGUAGAUAUGCGGAGGAACACCGAUGGCGAAGGCAAUCCCCUGGGCCUGCACUGACGCUCAUGCACGAAAGCGUGGGGAGCAAACAGG
rnacentral:rRNA from 1 species